UGUGACUCCUGAGUUAAUGUGAUGGCGUGAAUUGAUGUACAUCCUGAGAUUUGAUUUUCACCCGGGUGUCAUCCACAUACCUGAACCAAUGACUUGGUGGUGUUUCCAGGGUAGGAUAGCAAAGCCCUAUUUUCCACCUUUUCCAUGUACAAGUUGGCCACAAUGGGUGAAACUGGGGAACCCAUGGCACACCCAUGUCUCUGCCUGCAGUACUGACCCUUGUAUGUGAAAUAGGUGGAAUUAAGACAAAAGCAAACACACUUGGUCGAUGCAGAGAGUGCUCCUGUUGCUGAGAUUGGAAUCAUCCUGUAAUCUCUUACGAACUACCUCCAACGCUUCCGUGACUGGGAUGCAAGUGAAGAGAGAUAUAACAUCAUACGAAACCAUUGUUUCAUCUGCCUCCAUAAUGACAUCUCUCAACAAAAUCCAAGGUGUUCUGGAUGUGGUGUUCAGAGCUGCCUAUCAACGGGUUGAGGAUCGAAGCCAGAAAAAUAGAGAUGUUAUAGGUGAUAUAUAGGAAUGUUAUAGGAAUUUAUGAAUGAACAUUUGUGGUCUGCUUUCUUAUGACAGCUGGCCUUGCAUACAGGUCUCACAGACAUGGCAGGAUUUUUCUUUAUUUCAUGCUGUAACGUGGUAGUUAAAAAAGCCUCUUUAUUAAUUUGGAGCAAUAAUGAAGCUUUAAAAAACUGAGCUGCACGCACUUCGCUCAAAUCUCUGAACUCUUCAUGAAAGUAGCCACAAGGGGGCAGCUUUGAGCCAAGAUGGUCAGAGCUUUCCUUAAAUUAGUGGCCAGUUAUUCUAUUUAAAUUAUAUAAGAGCUCAUUGUGGUCUGUUUUCAGGUCAGUGUGAGACUUUCUGCUGGAUUACAGAGUGCUGAGUGUUUUAGAUAGAUCGGUGAGUUGGUCUGCGUCCUGGUGCGUUACUAUGGAAAUGAGGCUAUGAUUGAGGAGGCCGCUCUUAAAGUUUUCAGCAGUAAGUUUCCUGCCAGAGCUGCCUACCAAGUCGCUGCUCUCCCCAGAGGUGGGCUGGUGGAAAUUGAGGCAGUCGCUGUUCUCGGUCCUCUCUCCGACUCCAGACUAGCCGGCCGCAUCACUAACAAGCUGUAGCGCCACCAAGUGUCAUUAUAGAUUCACUGUGGAAGCCUGAUUGUAUUUCCAGAGAACACCCGAAGAGCCACGUUGAAUUUCA